GACGAACCGUCCAAACGUUAUUCGGAAUUACUGGGCUUAAAGGGUGCGUAGGCGGUCUGGAAAGUUGGGUGUGAAAUACCUCGGCUCAACCGAGGAAUAGCGCUCAAAACUGCCAGACUUGAGGGAGAUAGAGGUGAGCGGAACUUAAGGUGGAGCGGUGAAAUGCGUUGAUAUCUUAAGGAACACCUGUGGCGAAAGCGGCUCACGGGACCUUUUCUGACGCUGAGGCACGCAAGCUAGGGGAGCAAACGGG
rnacentral:rRNA from 1 species